CUGUCAAUUAACUAUCAAAUAAAGGCCACUAGAGCCAAUAAAACCUUAAAAUUGUUUUUGUUCAUACACUGCUCAAACCAAACAGUAAAUGCAGUGCUUUUAUAUACCAAUGAUGAAAACACUCAAAAUGUGUAAAAAAAAACUUAUGACAAGCAAUAUUUGUCUGAGAAAAUGUGCUUUUGAUUGUAAAAUCUUAUUGCACAUUAUGAUACACUACACAACAUCUUCAUGUAUCAAAAUGAAACUUGACAUUAGAUUCAGUGCCUAAUCAUUUUGGAUGUGAUGGUCAUUACAGUUGUUGAGACUGAAAAGUGUGGUCCGCCAGUAGAGCAUGUGACUCAUGUACGGAGGCCUCAGUCAUUGAUGCGGCCGUCACAGGUUCGAAUCCCGGUCCGUUGAUCUUUUCUGUAUGUCCUCUACCUCUCUCAUAACCCACUUGCCUGUCAACUCACUGUCAAUUAAAGGUCACAAGGACAAAAAAAAUAAUUUAAAAAAAAAGAGAAAAAUUGAAAAGUGCAUAUGAAAAGCUUCAAAUGUGUGUUAUUGUGUGCAGUUGGAUCUAUGUUUGCUUAGUUAAGAGACUCGAGUGCUUUCCCCAUCCCAAGGUAAACUGGAUGCAAUAAAAUAAAGCUAACCAGGUAUGUGAUUUAUUAAAGUAUGUAUGUUUUGUGCAAAAUGCAAACAACCUGUGCCCAACCCAAAACAUGGAAGACAAGCAUAUAUAUGCUGUGAUUUAACUAACAGUGCCUAGCAAAAGUAUUGCUUCCAGAUAAAUGUUUUCAUUGUCAUUUUACAAUGGAUUUCAAAAUAUUCUGUUGGGAUUUAUGUGAUAGGGUAUUGUAGUGAAGUGUGUCAUUGUAAAAUUAAACGAGCAAGAAUAAAGUGUUAAACAAUAUCAUUCACUUUGAAGAUUUCUGGGAGCAAAUAUUAACUUUGUUUUGCAAAAAUUUGUUUGGAGACUACCAUUUCUCAAAACACCCCCACUGUGAACUUAGUGAUGACAUUACUGAUUUGUUUUCAGCAAGGCCAGAGAAACUGGUCAGAUUUAAGGAAAAACAAGUGGAGCACAAUUCUGGAAUACAGGUCAAAGUCUUUCCCUAAACAGAGAAAAUCUAUGUUUUACAGAUGCUUUCUGUGCAACAUCUACUAUUUUGCAGAAAGAUGGGCAAACAUUUAUGUUUCUAGAUGUGCAAAAGACUUGCAGUCAAAAUAGCAGUGAAAGGUUGUGACUUCUGAAUUCAUUUUUCUUUUUUUUUUAUAAAAACAGAAUAAAAACAUAUUUUUCUUUCUUCGAUUUCACAAUUAUAUACUACUUUCUGUUGGUCUGUCACAAAAUCCCAAUAAGAUGCAUUCAGGCUGCUGGUCAGCUGAUCCAGUGGUCUGCGAAUUUGUUUGUUCGCAGACCACUGGAGCAGAGCCAGUGUUUGGAGUAGAUCCAUGAGGUAAGAGGAAGCAAGACGAGUUUGGCUUUUAUAAGCAGACAUUGAUAUUUUCACGUUAAUUCUGUGAUGAACCAGAACUGAUGAAAGAUCGGUGAAACGUGCUCAUGUCUGUUUGUACCAGUUAUAACGACAAAAUGCGACAUUCAGCUGGAACAAAUACUUUCACGAAUACCUGUAUGUCAACAACUGUCAUAAUUUUUAUUUUAAUUAGCAAUUUACUUGUCAUAAACUUAGUUUCCUGUUCAGUUUCAUUUACCAAGAAAAUGAAACAGAGAGAACACUCCCUCCUCUCCUGUCUCCCUCCCUCACACACACACACACACACACACACAAACACACACAGACGCAGCUUUAAAGACCAGGAAGAAGUCAGUGCUGCCGGAAUAGAAGAUGUCAAGAAAAAUUGCAAGUUAUUGUGUUGCUCUGCUCCUGACUGUGACGUCGGUGUUCGCUGCACGGAGAAGUCUGAACUGCAUCGAUGAUCUGAAGACCUGCCACGAGUUUGAUGAAACAAAUAUCUUAGAACUUCUUCACUGGUUUGCUUGCGAAGUUGACAUCGACUACGACAAUACCAUCCAGCUGACCUUUGACCCAAACUCACGUCAUUAUGGCUGCCAUUAUUACAGAAAUCGGGAGGGACUCCUGGAAUCUCUGCCUCGGGGCUACCGAUACUACACUAUUGGCAAUAUUCAUCAAGCCGGUUCAGAACCACUUCCACCUUAUGUAGUAAAUUCCCGGAGAGGUAAUAUUGCCUGGAACAGCGCUCGAAUCCUAAUUAGAGUAAAUGAAGGCAGACGAAUAGACCAAGUCUUCAUCACUCGGCAUUAUGAUGCAUCUGAAUACCACGGAUCAAGCUAUGAUCCAGAACAGACAUUCAGAAUCACCACCUACUUUUUGAGGCAACUUAGGAAACGCUCCAUUCAUGAAAUCCAACAACUUGCUGAUGGUUACCAACCUGGAGCGUUUAGAAACACCUCUAAUACUUACUUCCAGCCUGGUUCCCAACCUGGACCGUUUAGAAACACCUCUAAUACUUACUUCCAGGAAGUUCACCAACCUAAGCAAGACACCCACAUAGACAUGCCUCAUAUCCCAGUUAUGCAAGAUGACUGCUCUCAAGACUGUAUACACAAAAUUUGCAGUUUUAUUUUAGCUAUAAUUAUUAUUUUUAUCAUUUUAGGGUCUUUCUUUGUUAAUCGUGGCAAAUAAUGUGAAAGAAGUAGGAAGGGAGCAUAUCACAUUAUCUUAAAAAACAUGCAACUGUGGUGCUUAUUGAUAGUAAUAAUGAUGCUUUUUUUCUACAGAAUUUUUGUGACAUAUUUUGAUCAAAUAUUUUAUAAAAAUAUGAUUUAAUUGUACAAAGAUUAUUUUUACUGUACAUAUGAAAGCACACCUCUGCCUCAUAUCAAGCAAUAAUGUGGAUUCAGACACCAUUAAUCUGGAAAUGUCUUUAAAACAGAAUCUAAAUUCUAAUAAAUUCAAAUAAAAAUGUGCCUCCACUUUAA